rnacentral:rRNA from 1 species
GAUGAACGCUGGCGGCGUGCCUAAUACAUGCAAGUCGAGCGAACAGACGAGGAGCUUGCUCCUCUGACGUUAGCGGCGGACGGGUGAGUAACACGUGGAUAACCUACCUAUAAGACUGGGAUAACUUCGGGAAACCGGAGCUAAUACCGGAUAAUAUAUUGAACCGCAUGGUUCAAUAGUGAAAGACGGUUUUGCUGUCACUUAUAGGUGGAUCCGCGCCGCAUUAGCUAGUUGGUAAGGUAACGGCUUACCAAGGCAACGAUGCGUAGCCGACCUGAGAGGGUGAUCGGCCACACUGGAACUGAGACACGGUCCAGACUCCUACGGGAGGCAGCAGUAGGGAAUCUUCCGCAAAGGGCGAAAGCCUGACGGAGCAACGCCGCGUGAGUGAUGAAGGUCUUCGGAUCGUAAAACUCUGUUAUUAGGGAAGAACAAAUGUGUAAGUAACUAUGCACGUCUUGACGGUACCUAAUCAGAAAGCCACGGCUAACUACGUG